AUUGAACGCUGGCGGCAGGCCUAACACAUGCAAGUCGAACGAGUGGCGGACGGGUGAGUAAUGUCUGGGAAACUGCCUGAUGGAGGGGGAUAACUACUGGAAACGGUAGCUAAUACCGCAUACCAUCAAAUGUGCCCAGAUGGGAUUAGCUGGUUGGUGGGGUAACGGCUCACCAAGGCGACGAGCCCGAGCGGGUCUGAGAGGAGGACCAGCAACACUGGAACUGAGAAACGGUCCAGACUCCUACGGGAGGCAGCAGGGGGGAAUAUUGCAGAAUGGUCGCAAGCCUGAGGCAGCCAGGCCGCGUGUAUGAAGAAGGCCUUCGGGUUGUAAAGUACUUUCAGCGGUGAGGCGUUACCCGCAGAAGAAGCACCGGCUAACUCCGUGCCAGCCGCCGCGUAAUAC
rnacentral:rRNA from 1 species